CAGUCGCCGCGGUAAUACAGAGGGUGCGAGCGUUAAUCGGAUUUACUGAGCGUAAAGCGCGCGUAGGCGGUUACUCAAGUCAGAGGUGAAAGCCCGGGGCUCAACCCCGGAACUGCCUUUGAAACUAGGUGACUAGAAUCUUGGAGAGGUCAGUGGAAUUCCGAGUGUAGAGGUGAAAUUCGUAGAUAUUCGGAAGAACACCAGUGGCGAAGGCGACUGACUGGACAAGUAUUGACGCUGAGGUGCGAAAGCGUGGGGAGCAAACAGGAUUAGAUACCCCCGUAGUCCCUGUCUCUUAUAC
rnacentral:rRNA from 1 species